AGACUCAUGCAAUCUACGGCAGCAACAGAGACUUCCACCAUAACCCCAGGCACAGGCUGAGUGAUGGAUGUGACAGAUGCUGAAUGAUAUGUGCCUGAGCAAACCGCAGUGAACUCUGGGAAACCCGGAAGGAGAUGAUUAUCAUGAAAAAUGAUGUUUUAAACCUGUGAUUCAAUAUCCAGAAACUCAUCAGACAGGAAACUAAACAAGAUUCUGAAUCUUUUCUACAUUCAUUUGUGGUGGAAGAGUGGCGUAGCCCAGGGCUGUGUCUGCUUCAACAUGCAGGGAGAGUCAGCCUACAGUCAGUCCAUAAUUAGCACCGACAUGUCAUUCCAGUGAGAGUCACAGUCCCGUGCCACCCCGUGGGACCCAAGUCCUGAUCAUGAAAACCCAUGCCAGCACAUCCUCUCUGAAGGGUCCCCCAAAAAGUCCCUUGGAAAGUGCCAUUCAUCCCUCAUACGUGUCUCUCUCUAGCACCUGCCUGGUCCACUGUGCCAUAAAAUGAAAUCUCUCUUAAUGAGAAACUGUACCUA
rnacentral:lncRNA from 1 species